GAUGAACGCUGGCGGCGUGCCUAAUACAUGCAAGUCGAGCGAACGGACGAGAAGCUUGCUUCUCUGAUGUUAGCGGCGGACGGGUGAGUAACACAUGGAUAACCUACCUAUAAGACUGGGAUAACUUCGGGAAACCGUAGCUAAUACCGGAUAAUAUUUUGAACCGCAUGGUUCAAAAGUGAAAGACGGUCUUGCUGUCACUUAUAGAUGGAUCCGCGCUGCAUUAGCUAGUUGGUAAGGUAACGGCUUACCAAGGCAACGAUGCAUAGCCGACCUGAGAGGGUGAUCGGCCACACUGGAACUGAGACACGGUCCAGACUCCUACGGGAGGCAGCAGUAGGGAAUCUUCCGCAAUGGGCGAAAGCCUGACGGAGCAACGCCGCGUGAGUGAUGAAGGUCUUCGGAUCGUAAAACUCUGUUAUUAGGGAAGAACAUAUGUGUAAGUAACUGCGCACAUCUUGACGGUACCUAAUCAGAAAGCCACGGCUAACUACGUG
rnacentral:rRNA from 1 species